AUUGAACGCUGGCGGAAUGCUUUACACAUGCAAGUCGAACGGCAGCACGGGGCAACCUGGUGGCGAGUGGCGAACGGGUGAGUAAUACAUCGGAACGUGCCCAAUCGUGGGGGAUAACGUAGCGAAAGUUACGCUAAUACCGCAUACGAUCUACGGAUGAAAGCGGGGGAUCGCAAGACCUCGCGCGAGUGGAGCGGCCGAUGUCAGAUUAGGUAGUUGGUGGGGUAAAGGCUCACCAAGCCAACGAUCUGUAGCUGGUCUGAGAGGACGACCAGCCACACUGGAACUGAGACACGGUCCAGACUCCUACGGGAGGCAGCAGUGGGGAAUUUUGGACAAUGGGCGCAAGCCUGAUCCAGCCAUUCCGCGUGCAGGAUGAAGGCCUUCGGUUGUAAACUGCUUUGUACGGUAACGAAACGGACGAGCUCUAAUACAGUUGCUAAUGACGGUACCGUAAGAAUAAGACACCGGCUAACUACGUGCCAGCAGCCGCGGU
rnacentral:rRNA from 1 species